CACGCGUCCACCGUCCCCACGACUUUUUUACAGCUGUUUCUCACACGCAGAAUUUUUCUAUAAACAGCAGUUGAAAUCCAGCUUAUCAAGAUUUUUGUUUUGCUUCUGUCUUUAUUGAAUUCUCAAGAAAGUCCUAGAAUCUUGUUCUUUGCACAAAAAGAUCGAAUCUUUACACACACCCAUCAAAGAAUAACGAAGUAUUUUCAGUUUCCAUCGCUCAAUUUCCAGUUUUUUUGUUUAGAUUUUGCUAAAAAUGGGAGCUGAAGCUGAGGUUAUGGUUCAACUUCAACAUACCAUCCCUGUGUUGGAUGUCCCCUGUUGUUCUGAUUUGGAUGUCAAAUCACCAGAGUCGACAAUAUUGCAAUUCAUUCCUAGCAUUCGCUCAGGUAGCUUUGCUGAUACUGGCCCACGUAGGUUCAUGGAAGAUGAACAUAUAAGGAUAGAUGAUCUAUCUGCACAUCUUGGCUCACUCAUGAAAUUUCCGAAGCCCAGUGCUUUCUAUGGGGUAUUUGAUGGUCAUGGAGGACCGGAAGCUGCAGCUCAUGUGAGAAAAAAUGUACUCAGAUUGUUAUUUUCAGACACCAAUUUUCCAGAGACUUCAGAAGUUGAUGAUGCAUUUCUAGAAGGGGUGGAGAGUUCUCUUAGGAAGGGGUUUCUUCUGGCUGACCUCGCUUUAGCUGAUGACUGCAAUGUUAGCAGUUCUUCUGGAACCACUGCCCUGACAGCUCUUGUGUUGGGAAGGCUAUUAAUGGUGGCAAAUGCAGGAGACUGCCGAGCAGUCCUUUGCCGUAACGGAGAGGCAAUUGACAUGUCUCAAGACCAUAGACCAAAUUAUCCAUCGGAGAGGAGGCGUGUUGAAGAGUUAGGUGGAUUUAUUGAUGAUGGCUAUCUGAAUGGUAUACUAUCAGUGACCAGGGCCUUGGGGGACUGGGACAUGAAGCUGCCUCGUGGCUCUGCGUCUCCUCUGAUUGCUGAGCCAGAAUUUCGACAAAUAGUUCUGACAGAGGAGGAUGAAUUCCUUAUUAUUGCUUGUGAUGGAAUCUGGGAUGUCUUGUCUAGUCAACAAGCAGUUAGCCUAGUGCGUCGAGGUCUAAGACGGCAUGAUGAUCCUGAACAGUGUGCCAAGGACCUUGUCAUGGAGGCGUUGCGGCUGAAUACAUUUGACAAUCUCACAGUAAUUGUUGUAUGCUUUACUUCCCCUGAUCAUCAAGAGCUAUCACCAAUGCGUCAAAGGAGAUUAAGGAGCUGCAGCUUCUCUGCAGAAGCCUUGUAUAGCUUGCAGAGCUGGUUAGACAACAAAGGGAGCCAUUGACGGCGGCGGUGCAAGCUGUUUGCAUCUGCUUCAUUUGGGCAGAAUAAAGAGCAGCUAUAGUUUUGGUAGUAUGAUCUUCUCUUCUUGCUUUUAUAUUUGGGUGGAUGUAUGUACAUACCAUUCGUUGGUGAGUUGGGAGCUACACUGACUUUUAGUUUAUUGUGGCUGUUAGCGUAAUGGCCGUGUUUAUGUAAAACCCAUUCUAUUAGUUGUACAUAAUGAAAACUUGGUACUUGUUGCUCCGUAUAGUAACUUGGUACAAA
rnacentral:misc_RNA from 1 species